CCCCGGCGUCCAGAGCGCGCACGCAGGGCACGCACGGCCGGCGGGGCCGGCGCUCCAGGCCGUUGGUCUCCCCGCCCGGAUCGCGCAGGAUCGCGAGCGUUGGGAGUAAACACCCCGCAUGGAGAUCCAGGCGUGUUCGCCGCGGAGGCGCCGUUAUCCCGGACCGGGCGGACCCGAGCGUGAGGCCGCCGCAGGGCACAGGCUCCAGACGCGCAGGCUCAGUAGUUGUGGCUCACGGGCCCAGUUGCUCCGCGGCACGUGGGAUCUUCCCAGACCAGGGCUCGAACCCGUGUCCCCUGCAUUGGCAGGCAGAUUCUCAACCACUGCACCACCAGGGAAGCCCAACAUGGCCCAGUGAAAUUCUACUGAGAUGAACCUGAAAGUGAGUGCGGUCAAUUUUGUGUCUGUACUCACCACGGCUUAUAUAUCACUACCCCCACCGCCCACUCAGCCUUCAGCAAUUCCUUAGAAAACUUCAUCUGAAAGCUCCUUACCUUGUCCUACGGUCACCGACUUCCUCCCAUCCUCUGACCCAGGAAUGAACAUAAAAUGGGUGAAAGGGACACAUAUCUGAUGUUCCCCCAUCUAAUCUCAAAUCCACUCUGGCUUUUGUUAUAUGAGCAUCUCAUCCAUCUGAGUUUUGGAAGAGCCACAUCUACGAAGGCACUGACAACUUGAAGAGAGGAGUUUUCCAGUCCAAGGGGACGCCGGCAAGGCUAUAAGGACAAUCAUUCUUCAGAGCAGAGGACAACCAUGCAAAAUCAUUAAAGUGAUAUGCUUGUGAGCUUGUAGGGUACUUUCAGAGUAUCGCGAAAUCUUUGAACCCCAGUAACUGAGGAAUCGAUAUGCUCAGAAGGUCCUGCCAACCUUGCAUCGGUAACUGAAGGUUCUCAUUAUUCUCGAAGAGCUUUACAAACUGCUGAAUGUGACUCCUAGCCAUGGCCACAGCUUCGGCACUUCCUCUGAUGCCAAGAAGACCAAUGUCGAGAAUGCAGAGAUCGGCACAGGUGUCCUGAAUCAAGCUCUUCAGAAACCGGCUCUGUGCCCCAACAAAAAUGCAGUGCAUGGCCUUGGGAAUUCCAUUAUUCAUCAGAACUCCAUUUUCCGAAAAUUGUUUUGGCAAACUUUGCAGAUGAUGGGGUGACUAAAGUCCAUGAGAUGAGGCAGGGAAAAAAUUAAAGGUAUUCUUGUGCUUAGAUGUCAGUGGUCAAUGAAAUCCACUCUUGAACAACAUACCUUAAUUGGUUCAGGCUGGUGAUUCCAUUUGGUCAUCUGGGUGGAACAAGCUACACAAUAAAGUAUAAUUUUAAGAUACUCUCACUCAAAUGAAAUAUCUUUCUCACUCCUUUUGUUGUGUGCUAGAGGAGGACAUACCUUUCAGUCCUGCUGUUGAGAAAAGCACAGCACAAUAUUCCACUCCAUCAGCAGGUACAUAAAUACAAUGGAAUAUUACUCAGCCAUAAAGAAGAAUGAAAUACUGCCAUUUGCAGCGAUGUGGAUGGACCUAGAGACUGUCAUGCUGAGUGAAGUAAGUCAGACAGAGAAAGACAAAUAUCAUAUGAUAUCACUUCUAUGUGGAAUCUAAAAAAUGAUACAAAUGAACUUAUUUACAAAACAGAAACAGACUCACAGACUUAGAAAACUUAUGGUUACCAGGGGGUAAGGGGGAGGGAUAAAUUGGGAGAUUGGGACUGACAUAUACAUACUACUAUAUAUAAAAUAGAUAACUAAUAAAGACCUGCUGUACAGCACAGGGGACUCUACUUGAUACUCUGUAAUGGCUUAUAUGGGAAAAGAAUCUAAAAAAGAGUGGAUAUAUGUAUAUGUAUAACUGAUUCACUUUGCUAUACACUUGAAACUAACACAACAUUGUAAAUCAACUGUAUCCCAAUAAAAAUUUAAGAAACUAAAGUGUGUGUUAUGGAUUCUGAGAGCGAAUCUGAUAUUUGGCAGUUUUAUUAAGUAUCACCCAUGGGAACCCCAUCUGUAGACGCAGGAGUGGAAGAGGAAGAAUGUGAGCCAUGGGUUUCUCUGGAACUGGAAGGAACUGUCAGGGUCAUCCCAGGUUGGGUCAAAAUGCUCAGGCUUUUAUACCACUGUCUCCAUCAGUGUUUGGAUACCAUGUGCUCCAGGAAGGACUGAAUGUUGGGUCAGAUAACUCUUGCAGCUGAGGCAGUCCUUGAAGGAGCUGGCAGCUGAAGUCUUUCCUAUUAUAUUGCUCCCAGCAGCUGGGGCAAAUCCAUCCUUGAAGUGACUUGAUAGUCACUGAGGCCUUGCAUUCUGGAACAAAAUGGGCAAGAGGGAAGCUUCCCAACAUAAGAAACUAUACUUUUUGUGAAUCUGUCCAAUAAAAGAUGCUACAACCCACACCAAAUGGAGGAAGUUAACUACUUGAUGACCAGGAGCACAUAGCCCGCACACCUACUAGAGCCUAAGGACUGAUAAGGUUAACCCUUGUGACACCCCUCUGUUACCUCACCUUCAACCAAUCAGAGAAUUGUGCACAAGCUGAUCAUAUACCCUCCAACUCCCCUCCCUCACCUGACCUUUAAAAAUGCUCUUCUGAAACCCAUUGAGAGUUUAGGUUUUUUGAGUAUUAGCUGCCCUGGACUUCUUGUAUGGCACCUUACAAUAAACACUGCACUUUCCUUCACCACAA